rnacentral:tRNA from 1 species
ACCUCCUUUCAAGGAUGUGUUCUGACAACGGUCUGGACGAAAGUCUGGAUGGUUUUGGAAUGCUUCUGAAUAAAGUCCUUGCCUGCAGGAUCGGGUAAGGCACAGCCAGAGAGGCUGCCUGCACUUUUGUGUAACGCGCCGUCAACAUAUCCCUUCCAGCGACAAUCAGAGGACCCUUUUGGGGCUAGUAGCUCAGUUGGUUAGAGCACACGCUUGAUAAGCGUGGGGUCGGAGGUUCAAGUCCUCCCUGGCCCACCAGUCCUCCCUGAUGGGGGCGUAGCUCAGCUGGGAGAGCACCUGCUUUGCAAGCAGGGGGUCGUCGGUUCGAUCCCGUCCGCCUCCACCACACUUUACUGGUGUUGAGAGGGCUGGGAAUGAUUGUCGCCGGAAGAUAAUGGAGAUCGGACGGAUGCCUUGUGGAACCGCGUUGGCGGUGCACGGGGUGUUGCGGUCUGGUAAGUUUGCUCUUUGAUAAGUGAAUAGGUUGGUGCGUUUGUGGACGCGCCUUGAUCGCGGGUUGGUCUGACCCGUGUGAUGGUCCGAGCAGUCGGAGUAUCACAUGCUAAGCGAUUGGGGCGGAUGCGUUCACAAGCGAGUAUGAAUAUGUGUUGAUUGUGCUGAUGCACUGCACUUUCUUAUGUGCGGGCGUUGUUGCUCGAUCUGGCAGUUCUUCACCUGAGCGAUCAGGUAUUGAAGUGUUGGCUUGAGUGGAUGGCUCCUGUGCAUGUGUGGGCAAUGAGCGCGAUAAGGGCAUUCGGUGGA